CCUUACAGUUAGGAAAGGAAGGAGGAGGUAUGGCACUUCCUUGCUUGAGAAAUUAUUCUUAUGUUUCACUGAUAACCCCUCUGUUAUCCUGGUGUAAUAAGGAAUAUAAGGCUAGAUGGAAGGAAAUAGAAUUUGGAUUGAUUAACAGUUUUCCUCUGCAGGCCUCAAUUGCGGACAAAGGAUUGAUGGUGCAAUUGGAAAAGAUUAAAAACAGCUGGAUAAAUCUCACAUUAAAAGUAUGACAGAAGAGUGGAUGAUCAAUCCUCUGGAAUCAUGCCAGAAUCAAGUGAUUCUUGAAAGCCAGUGUCACAAUCCUGUCUCAAAGGCAGCUCAGGGGCAUUUGAAUGAGAGGGAGAACCCUGGAGUCUCCAUGAGGUAAUGAAAUCAGAUGCAGU